rnacentral:rRNA from 1 species
CGCAAGGGUGAGUAACGCGUAGGUUAUACUGCCUUCGAGUUUGGAAUACAAUUGAAAUGAUUGCUAAUGCCGGAUUANAUUUAAGAUGAUACGUUGUCUUAAUUAAAAGGAGCCUUUAAAGCUUCGCUUGAAGAUGAGCCUGCGUCGUAUUAGCUAGUUGGUGGGGUAAUGGGCCUACCAAGGCAACGAUGCGUAGCCGACCUGAGAGGGUGAUCGGCCACACUGGGACUGAGACACGGCCCAGACUCCUACGGGAGACAGCAGUUAGGAAUAUUCGUCAAUGGGGGAAACCCUGAACGAGCAAUGCCGCGUGAAGGAUGACGGUCCUUUGGAUUGUAAACUUCUGUUGUUAGGGAAGAACAAACUGUAUAGGAAAUGAUACAGUUCUGACGGUACCUUUCAAGAAAGCUCCGGCUAACUACGUG